rnacentral:rRNA from 1 species
AACGAACGCUGGCGGCGCGUUUAAGCAUGCAAGUCGAGCGGCAAGGGCCUUCGGGCCCCUAGAGCGGCGGACGGGUGAGUAACACGUGGACAAUCUGCCCCCCGGCCCGGGAUAGCCCAGGGAAACCUGGAUUAAUACCGGAUGAGACGGGACCCGCGAUGGCGGGAUCCGGGAAAGGCGCUGCGGCGCCGCCGGGGGAUGAGUCUGCGUCCCAUUAGCUAGACGGCGGGGUAACGGCCCACCGUGGCGACGAUGGGUAGCCGGCCUGAGAGGGUGGACGGCCACAUUGGAACUGAGACGCGGUCCAGACUCCUACGGGAGGCAGCAGCUAAGAAUCUUCCGCAAUGGGCGAAAGCCUGACGGAGCCGACGCCGCGUGAACGAAGAAGGCCGUGAGGUUGUAAAGUUCUUUUCGGGAGGGGGAACAACCGUGGCAGGGAAUGGCCGCGGGAUGACGUGAAUCCCGGAAUAAGCCCCGGCUAACUACGUGCCAGCCGCAGC